UGCGAAACGAGUCUAGUCAUCAGCUAAAUUCGUUACUGAUUUCUUCGUUGUUGUUGGCUAUGAAUUCUCAAGAACCCUAGUUGGCAAAUCAAGUUCGAUUUACACGCACAAAAUCAGUCUUCAACUUCGAAGCUCGCAGCUUUUCCCUGGAUUCAACUUCGCGAUUUGAUUUCACGACUGGAUUGGAAUUUUCGUGGCCAACUCCCAAUCGCGACUCGGCAGUCUGUGACCCUCGUUUCGUUUGUGACCUGCGAAGGUGUAUAGAACUGCCCUUACAUUCUUCCAAUCGAUUUCACAUUCCACAAUCGAUUUCUCGCAAUUCUAACCAAAAUUUCCAGAUAUAGAACAUGAGCGUAGAACCAUUUAACAGGUUGGUGAAGCUAGCAGCUAGGGCUUUUUACGAUGACAUCACAACAAAAGGA